rnacentral:rRNA from 1 species
UACGAAGGGGGCUAGCGUUGCUCGGAAUUACUGGGCGUAAAGGGCGCGUAGGCGGCACUGUUAGUCAGGCGUGAAAGUCCUGGGCUCAACCUGGGAACUGCGCUUGAUACGGCAGAGCUAGAGGAUGGAAGAGGGUCGCGGAAUUCCCAGUGUAGAGGUGAAAUUCGUAGGUAUUGGGAAGAACACCGGUGGCGAAGGCGGCGACUUGGUCCAUUACUGACGCUGAGGCGCGACAGCGUGGGGAGCAAACAGG